rnacentral:rRNA from 1 species
UACGGAGGGUGCAAACGUUGCUCGGAAUCAUUGGGCGUAAAGCGCACGUAGGCGGCCUGCUAAGUCGAACGUGAAAUCCCCGGGCUCAACCCGGGAACUGCGUCCGAUACUGGCAGGCUUGAAUCCGGGAGAGGGAUGCGGAAUUCCAGGUGUAGAGGUGAAAUCGUAGAUAUUAGGAAGAACACCGGUGGCGAAGGCGGCCCACUGGAUCGGUACUGACGCUGAGGUGCGAAAGCGUGGGGAGCAAACAGG